rnacentral:ncRNA from 1 species
CGAAAAAUGAGUUGCAGGGUGGUGUCUCCUGCGGCCGGCUUAGCCCGGCUUCUUCCUGGCCUCUG